GAGGGCGUAGCUCAGUUGGAUAGAGCAUCGGUUUUCUAAACCGACGGUCGGGGGUUCGAACCCCUCCGCCCUUGCCA
rnacentral:tRNA from 1 species